rnacentral:rRNA from 1 species
AGUCGAACGGCAGCGCGGGGCAACCUGGCGGCGAGUGGCGAACGGGUGAGUAAUAUAUCGGAACGUACCCAAGAGUGGGGGAUAACGUAGCGAAAGUUACGCUAAUACCGCAUACGAUCUAAGGAUGAAAGCAGGGGAUCUUCGGACCUUGUGCUCCUGGAGCGGCCGAUAUCUGAUUAGCUAGUUGGUGAGGUAAAGGCUCACCAAGGCCACGAUCAGUAGCUGGUCUGAGAGGACGACCAGCCACACUGGAACUGAGACACGGUCCAGACUCCUACGGGAGGCAGCAGUGGGGAAUUUUGGACAAUGGGCGAAAGCCUGAUCCAGCAAUGCCGCGUGAGUGAAGAAGGCCUUCGGGUUGUAAAGCUCUUUUGUCAGGGAAGAAACGGUGAGGGCUAAUAUCCUUCACUAAUGACGGUACCUGAAGAAUAAGCACCGGCUAACUACGUGCCAGCAGCCGCGGUAAUACGUAGGGUGCAAGCGUUAAUCGGAAUUACUGGGCGUAAAGCGUGCGCAGGCGGUUUUGUAAGUCUGACGUGAAAUCCCUGGGCUCAACCUGGGAAUUGCGUUGGAGACUGCAAGGCUAGAAUCUGGCAGAGGGGGGUAGAAUUCCACGUGUAGCAGUGAAAUGCGUAGAGAUGUGGAGGAACACCGAUGGCGAAGGCAGCCCCCUGGGUCAAGAUUGACGCUCAUGCACGAAAGCGUGGGGAGCAAACAGGAUUAGAUACCCUGGUAGUCCACGCCCUAAACGAUGUCUACUAGUUGUCGGGUUUUAAUUAACUUGGUAACGCAGCUAACGCGUGAAGUAGACCGCCUGGGGAGUACGGUCGCAAGAUUAAAACUCAAAGGAAUUGAC